UGAAAUGGGAGUACAAGAUUUCAGGAUGA
rnacentral:piRNA from 1 species